GAGUUUGAUCUUGGCUCAGAUUGAACGCUGGCGGCAUGCCUUACACAUGCAAGUCGAACGGCAGCACGGGAGCUUGCUCCUGGUGGCGAGUGGCGAACGGGUGAGUAAUGCAUCGGAACGUAUCCUGGAGUGGGGGAUAACGUAGCGAAAGUUACGCUAAUACCGCAUAUUCUGUGAGCAGGAAAGCGGGGGACCUUCGGGCCUCGCGCUCUUGGAGCGGCCGAUGUCGGAUUAGCUAGUUGGUGAGGUAAAGGCUCACCAAGGCGACGAUCCGUAGCAGGUCUGAGAGGAUGAUCUGCCACACUGGAACUGAGACACGGUCCAGACUCCUACGGGAGGCAGCAGUGGGAAUUUUGGACAAGUGGGGGCAACCCUGAUCCAGCCAUGCCGCGUGAGUGAAGAAGGCCUU
rnacentral:rRNA from 1 species